UAAUUAAUUCCUGAUUGCUAAUUUUAUUGAUUAUUAUGACGUUCUUAAUUCUUGGCCAUGAUUUAAUUAGGCUUAACCUUGUUGACAUAAUGACUAUAAUAAGUAGAUCUAGCCCGAACAAUUAAACGUAAUAAUAAUUAAACUUAAAAAGAUGAUAAAAUCAUGUUGAUGUGAAAUGUGUCAGAUUUACCUGUAGCUUACUGUAUUAUUAAGGCUGAUUUAUACUUCUGCGUCGGGCCUACGCCGUAGCCUUUUCGCCGUAGGCUAUGCGUCAGUUCCAGGCUGUCGAUGACUGCACCGCAGAGGAAAAGAGACUGCUGGACUUCAUUGUAAAGUUACAGGGAUCUGAGGAGCAUUUGGUGGGUUUACUCAAUGGGAACCCCUCUAAGUGGUCUCAUAAGCUAACCUCUUCCCAAGUGCCUGUCUGCCUCGACAGUGAGGAACAACUGUCCUGUUUGCCUGCCCUACUGCAUAUGAAACCAACUCAAGUGCAGUUCAUCUGUGGUGCUCUUUUUUCAGAGGCCAUCAUAUAUGCCCUAGCUAUCCUACGGAAUAUGUCCUUGCAGGAGACUGAGCAGGUCUUCCUUUCUAGUCCGGAUUAUCAUUACAGGUCAGAGAGGAAUAUGAAUUAUUUUUGCACAAUGCUCAGUGCACCCUUUUGUAACUGAUAUUUCUGUUAACCCAACAGUGAAUGUUCUCAUAUAACUAUUUCAGU
ensembl:lncRNA